rnacentral:rRNA from 1 species
AGCGAACGCUGGCGGCGUGCCUAACACAUGCAAGUCGAGCGAAGGCAUAUGUGUAGCGAUACAUGUAUGUACUUAGCGGCGGACGGGUGAGUAACACGUGGAUAAUCUGCCCCAAGGACUGGGACAACUCUGGGAAACCGGAGCUAAUACCGGAUAUGACCACGAUGUCUGAGGGCAUCGAGGUAAAAGGGUGGCCUGCAAGGGCUAUUGCCUUGGGAUGAGUUCACGACCCAUCAGGUAGUUGGCGGGGUAAAGGCCCACCAAGCCAAAGACGGGUAGCUGGUCUAAGAGGAUGGUCAGCCACACGGGAACUGAGACACGGUCCCGACUCCUACGGAAGGCAGCAGU